rnacentral:pre_miRNA from 1 species
UAUCUACUCCCUCCGUUCCGAAUUACUCGUCGCAGAAAUGGAUGUAUCUAAAUAUAUUUUAGUUCUAGAUACAUCCAUUUCUGCGACGAGUAAUUUGGAACGGAGGGAGUACUUC